rnacentral:rRNA from 1 species
AGAACGAACGCUGGCGGCGUGGAUAAGACAUGCAAGUCGAACGGGGCUUGGCUGCGAUUACAUCAAGGCCUUGUUCAGUGGCGGACGGGUGCGUAACACGUGAGUAAUUUGCCGGGAGGAGGGGGAUAGCCCGUGGAAACGCGGAUUAAUACCCUGUGUGGUUUCAGUUGGCAUCAACUGGGGACCAAAGGUGCUGUAAAAGGUGCCGCCUCCUGAUGAACUCGCGCCUAUCAGCUUGUUGGCGGGGUAACGGCCCACCAAGGCGAUGACGGGUAGCCGGUCUGAGAGGAUGGACCGGCCACACUGGAACUGAGACACGGUCCAGACACCU